AUGCCCACACCCGGGACACCCCCUCGCUCGCCCACCGCCUCCUGGCGCUGUGCAACCUCGCUGCCGCUGCCGCUGCCGGGGACCCUGAAUCUGGAUCGUGGCUGCGAUUGCCUCCUCCGGCUCCGGCUACUCCUCCGGCAGCAAGCAGGGGACGCGCCAGGCGCUCCCCGAGCCGUUCCCUGUCACCCCCGAAGUGCUCUCCUCCACCGCCAGCCACCUACCCACAAGUCCCACCUGGGAGGAGGAGGAGGCGGCGGCGGAAGCAGCCCGGUGGGAGGACGUGGAUACCCGGCGGCGCGGCCAGGCGGGGUCCCGGGUGCAGGAGCAGAGUGGAUGAGGAAGUAGAAGCAGGACUGGCUCUAUAAUUUGCAUAGUACACCAACAUGUUGUCCUCCUUGCUCAGGAAUCAUCAGGCAUUUCAAGAUGGUGAGUGGGGAGGAUUUAAUCAUUACAGGAUGUUCAGGGCCCUAAGUGCACACCCUUGAUGCCAAUUCCAAGGGGGUUGGAUUGUUUGCCCAAGGUGACAAAACUGGUUAGGAGCGGAUAGCCUUGUCUCUCUCCCUCCCCCUGUUCCCCUCCCUCCNNNNNNNNNNNNNNNNNNNNNNNNNNNNNNCCUUCCCUCUCUCCCCCCCCUCUCUCGCUGUCUCUCUCCCUCUCUCUCUCCCUC
rnacentral:lncRNA from 1 species